rnacentral:misc_RNA from 1 species
GUAGGUGAACCUGCGGAAGGAUCAUUAUUGAAAUAAACCUGAUGGGUUGUUGCUGGUUCUCCAGGGAGCAUGUGCACACCUUGUCAUCUUUAUAUCUCCACCUGUGCACUUUUUGUAGACCUGAAAAGGUCUAUGUUGCUUCAUUUUACCCCAAUGUAUGUUAAUAGAAUGUUGUACCUAUAUAAUAUAUACAACUUUCAGCAACGGAUCUCUUGGCUCUC